rnacentral:rRNA from 1 species
CAGUAGCCGCGGUAAUACGUAGGUGGCAAGCGUUGUCCGGAAUUAUUGGGCGUAAAUGGCUCGCAGGCGGUUUCUUAAGUCUGAUGUGAAAGCCCCCGGCUCAACCGGGGAGGGUCAUUGGAAACUGGGAAACUUGAGUGCAGAAGAGGAGAGUGGAAUUCCACGUGUAGCGGUGAAAUGCGUAGAGAUGUGGAGGAACACCAGUGGCGAAGGCGACUCUCUGGUCUGUAACUGACGCUGAGGAGCGAAAGCGUGGGGAGCGAACAGGAUUAGAUACCCCAGUAGUCCCUGUCUCUUAUAC